GUGCUUGCUUUGGCAGCAUAUAUACUAAAAUUGGAAUUGUACAGAGAAGAUUAGCAUGGCCCCUGCACAAGGAUGACAUGUGAAUUUGUGAAGUGUUCCACAUUUUU
ensembl:snRNA U6 U6 spliceosomal RNA